UACGGAGGGUGCAAGCGUUAUCCGGAUUCACUGGGUUUAAAGGGUGCGUAGGAGGGCAGGUAAGUCAGUGGUGAAAUCUCCAAGCUUAACUUGGAAACUGCCGUUGAUACUAUCUGUCUUGAAUACCGUGGAGGUGAGCGGAAUAUGUCAUGUAGCGGUGAAAUGCUUAGAUAUGACAUAGAACACCAAUUGCGAAGGCAGCUCGCUACACGAAUAUUGACGCUGAGGUGCGAAAGCGUGGGGAGCAAACAGG
rnacentral:rRNA from 1 species